rnacentral:misc_RNA from 1 species
GAUGAAGAACGUAGUGAAAUGCGAUAAGUAAUGUGAAUUGCAGAAUUCAGUGAAUCAUCGAAUCUUUGAACGCACAUUGCGCCCGCCAGCAUUCUGGCGGGCAUGCCUGUUCGAGCGUCAUUUCAACCCUCGAGCCCCCCCGGGGGCCUCGGUGUUGGGGGACGGCACACCAGCCGCCCCCGAAAUGCAGUGGCGACCCCGCCGCAGCCUCCCCUGCGUAGUAGCACACACCUCGCACCGGAGCGCGGAGGCGGUCACGCCGUAAAACGCCCAACUUUCUUAGAGUUGACCUCGGAUCAGGUAGGAAUACCCGCUGAACUUAAGCAUAUAAUAAGCGGAGGA